rnacentral:lncRNA from 1 species
GAGUCCCGCGACGGGAGGAAGCUACGCUGCAGGGCUCAGCCGACUGCAGCUCCGCUUACCGUCUGACCUUGCGAAGGUUCGGUGCUGAGCGCAGGCGCUGGACUUUCCGCCUGACAGUCAAAGGAACAGCGUCCUCACCUUCCUAUGGAGGAGUCGCGGUCGUCGGGUCUGCGAGAAGGUCAGCCCGAUCCGUAGCUCUAAUCCUGUUAAACUUUUACUAGAUUUGAGCGAUUUCGUUUUCUGGAUGGGAAAUGGGAAGCGUCCUGAGAAUAUUUUCUAUUUAAAAAGGACAGAUCUGCUCACCGGGUGAAAAAAAUGGCUCCACACCCCCUAAUCUGCCUAAAAGUUAAGAAAAGAAAUUACAUACUGUGAGUUUCCCAUUGCAUCAGCUACCUAAGCCAUUUCAUUAAAUAAAGUAGAAUCAAAAAGAAACAAAUGGGAAACGCCUGCAGAAUUUUAAAUCAAAAUAUUGUUGUUUUAAUGCCAACUUUGCCAUUUGUUGCCUUGUAAGAUCUAGUAGAAUUUUUUUUUCUUCCAUACGUCUGGACAACCCUAUGUGUAUGUUAUCCCCACAUCUCCAUAUAUGGUUAUUUACAUGGGUUUAGAAGUAUCCAUAUACAGAAAAACCUACCCACAACACACACAGAUGCACCCUCAUCUGUUACUUCUUUAAGGGAUUUGCUUUUAUUUUGUGUGUGUGUACGUGUGCCUGCGUGUAUGUAUGUGCACCGUGUGCGUGCGUGCGUGCAGGAGCUCAAGAAGGAUUGGAGAGGUGUUGGGGCCCUGGAACUGGAGUUAAUAGGAGGCUCUGAGCUGCCAUGUGGGUACUGGGAACAGAACCUGGGUUCUCUGCAAGAGCAAUUAAUUUUCUUAACCACCGGGCCAUCUGGCCAGGUCAUUAUCAGUUAAUAGGUAUUCACACAAAAUUUAAGCCUGCCUCGUAGUAAGCCAAAUCCAAAGUCCCAAACUGAAGCUAGACACCUUUGUGCUUGUCAGCAAACCUAAUUGAAUGACUGUCCUCUGCUAAGCACUGCUGAUACUAUUCCAGUGUCUCUUGUACAACUGACAGUAUGUAGACACAAUUUUAGGCCCAGUCGCAUAUAAUAAGUGCAAAAUUAAUUCUAUGGACAGUACGUAAUCCGUUAGAAAGGAGUUCUAGCUUCAGAUUCUAAGCAUCAGCAGACGUAUGACUUUGAACAAGUUACUCAGACUAGGGGUCUGCACUUUUUGUCUAAAUAAAAAUAUUGGAAUACUACCAUGUUUAUUUGUUGAUAUUAUACGGCUCUCUUGGGCUAUAGUGGUAGACUUGGGUAGAAGAAAUGGAGAUCUGUGACCUACAAAUACUUAUAAUCUAGAUCUUGCUAAACAUGAACUUUCAAUCUGGCUUCUUAUUUGUAAAAUGAUGCUAACAUCUACUCUGUUGGUCUCACAAAAUUGGUCAUAAGAAUCGAAUGGGCUCACAGUCAGCUAUUGGAUGGAUCACAGAGCCCCCAAUGGAGGAGCUAGAGAAAGUACCCAAGGAGCUAAAGGGAUCUGCAACCCUAUAGGUGGAACAACAAUAUGAACUAACCAGUACCCCCAGAACUCGUGUCUCUACCUGCAUAUGUAGCAGAAGAUGGCCUAGUCGGCCAUCAUUGGGAAGAGAGGCCCCUUGAUAUUGCAAACUUUAUAAGCCCCAGUACAGGGGAACAGCAGGGCCAAGAAGUGGGAGUGGGUGGGUAGGGGAGUGGAGAGGGGAGGGUAUGGGGAACUUUUGGGAUAGCAUUUGAAGUGUAAAUGAAGAAAAUACCUAAUUAAAAUAUAUAUUUAAAAAAAGAAUCGAAUGGGAUAUAAUGUAAGAUAAUUCAUUAAUUUUUGUUUUAAUUUUAAGGUUUAUUUUAUUAUUAUAUGUGUAUGAGUAUUUUGCUUACAUGUAUGUGUGUGCCUACAUGUAUGUGUAUGUGUGUUAUGUCUGUGCCUGGAGGUCAGAACAGAACACUGAAUCCCUUGGGCCUGGAAUUACAGAUGGUUGAGAGCUACCAUGUACAUGCUGGGAAUUGAACUUGGGUCUUCUGCUAGAGUAACAGGUGCUCUUAACUGCUGAGCCAACUCUUCUCCUCUUGUUAUCAUUUUCUUUUUUACUAGACUGAAAAAAAAGUUUUUAUAAAUGUAUAUGGGGGGUGUUGUCUACAUGCAUGUCUGAUGUCCAGAAAAGCCUGAAGAGAGCAUCAGAUCCACUGGAUCUGGAUUUACAGAUGUUGUAAGCCAUCAUAUAGGUGCUGGGAAUCUAACCUGGGUCCUCAGUAAGAGCUGUCAGUACUAUCAACCUCUGAGCCUUCUGCCCAACUGCAAUGCCCCUAAGUUUUAAGCCUAGAUAUCUAGAAAAAUGUUGGCAUCAUAUAUUUCAUCAACAGAAGAGGAGUCAUUGUGUGUGUGUGUGUGUGUGUUUGUAUGCAUGUGUGUGCACUCGUGCAGGUGUAUGCAUGUGUACAUGUGUACAAGAGCUCCCAUAAAAGCUCAUGUGUGGGGGCUGGUGAGAUGGCUCAGUGGGUAAGAGCACCCGACUGCUCUUCCGAAGGUCCAGAGUUCAAAUCCCAGCAACCACAUGGUGGCUCAUAACCACCCGUAACGAGAUCUGAUGCCCUCUUCUAGAGUGUCUGAAGACAGCUACAGUGUACUUACAUAUAAUAAAUAAAUAAAUCUUUAAAAAAAA